UGGGCCCACUUGACGGUGUCACAAGCUAGCUCCAACUCUGUGCAUAACUUUUCCACCAAUCUAAAGACCCACAAUGAACGAGAGAGAGUGAUCGGCUCUGGGCGUGCGCGACGCGUGGCCGAGACGUGGCAACGCCGAGCCGAGCCUCCUUCUCUUCCCAGCCACAUCGCCCAUCCUCACUCCUCACUCCAGUGCCGACCAAACCGAGAGAACAAGCUCUAGCUGCUUUCCUCGCCUUCGAUCUCACCGCCGGCUGUGAUGAAGACGACGCUCGUCCUCGCCUACGAGUCUUCGCCAACCCUAUCUCUUCCACGUUCCAUACUCACCUCACCAUACGGAAAAUUUCUCCUUUUGAUUUCAUCCUCUCUCGUGCAGCGGAUCGACGGGAACGCCGACGUGCCCUCAAGAGCUCCAGAGCGCGCUCCAAACGUCGCUGUGGUGGCAUCGUCGCCGUCGCCACCGAUCUGGACCAAGCCGGGCCAUGCCAUCGCGCCAUCGUCUUCGCCUCGUACUCCUCUCCAUUUCCCCUCAAGAACCACGAAGAAUGGUGCUACGAGUGUGGAGAUCGGCCACCGUCUUCUUCACCUCCGGUUGCCGUCGCCAUUGUCGUUUCCGCCUCCUCCGUUCUUGGUGCCGAUUGAGCCGUCGCCGUUCACCCGGGAGGUUCUUGCCGUCGCCAAGCCGUUCUGCAAGCCACCGCUGCCGCCAAGACCACGGCAACCUUCGCUAGACUCAUGGCGAGCAUUCUUGAGGCUUUAGUGUCGCAUUCAUGCACUUUAUUCAUCUAGAUCCAGCCCCUAAAGUCACAUGCACCACCACCCGAAACCAUCUUUCGCUCGGACCCGCCGCCGGCGCUACUCCGAUGUCCACUAAUCGAGAAAAGUAGAGGAAUGGAAUCGUGAGAGAGUUCUCUUCAUUUUAUAUUUUUACCUCAACCCCAAACGAGCCACCAAUCGCCUCCGGUGAACCUGAGAUCGAGCUCAGCCAUGGCUGCUCUGCCUCUGUAGAAGACGAGGACCUCAUUUUGAGAAUUUAAACAACUAUAAGGUUUAUUGUACAAUCUUUCCACUCAAUGACAUAUAUAUGGGCCUAGGACUGCGGAUUGAUUCUUAAAAACUGUAAGGGUCUUUCUGCAUAUUCGCAAAUCACUGACAGUGGACCCCCUGGAGAUAAAAUCUGAGACUAUACAAGAGAGAAACCUAGAACUUGUAAAAUCCAUAUAAAAUCAAAUAAAGCUUAUUUUGAGAUGAUUCAAAUUUCUUUGAACUCACUAGAUUAUGAACUUUAAAGUUAUGAAAUAAAAACUUGCACUCACAGUACAAAUUUAGCCUCUAAAAUUCAUCUAAGAUAAAUCAUACAUAAAGCAUAUACAAAUUUAUAAAAUGCAUACAAAAUACAUUUCAACUCAUUUUAGAGCAAACUUAGUUUCUAAAGAUCCACCAACAUGUUCUCUAAAAACAAAGUGAAAUAAAACAUAUACACACUUUACAUCAAAUGCCUCUAAAACUAUUACCUUUAAAAUGACUAGUUUUAGAUUAGCUGAACUUUAGAAGUUUAUAUAAAAUUCAUCUCAGAUCCUUUUUGAGUAAACACAAGUUCUAUAGCAUCAUAGAGCUAUGCACUUCAAUGUUAUGUAUAUUAAUAUAAAAAGUACGAGUUCAUCCAUAAUUCUGCAAUCCUUCGCGUGGGACCCACCUGGUCAUCUGGCCCAAAGAAACAGCACCAUAUCUCGCGCACGAAAAAAAGGAAACUACUCAUACGAAAAAAAAAGAACGGGAAAAAAAAAGAACGGGAACACGAUCUAACCUCUGCAAUCCCCACGCCGCCGCCUCCUCAUUCCUUCCCGAACCGUCGCACAUCGACGCUCCGCCGCUCCUCCAUCCCCUCCCGCUCCAUCGCGCCGCCGCAACGCCAGAUUCAUCGCCGCCUCAUCGGCGCUGAGAGCGAGGGUAUCGUUGCCCCUCCCCUCCCCAUCAGUCGCCGCGCCACCGCCCCAUCGAUCUCCGCCCGGCCGCCACCAAUCUCGCAGCGCCAACAGUCGCCGGGUCCCCGUCGCCACGCGCAGCUGUCGUUGAAGCGAGCGCCGUCGCAUCGAUCUCCUCCGCCCCUCUCUAUCAGUCGUCGUGCCGUCGAAGCCAUCUUCACCGACGCUGGCUCGAUUGAGGCACAGCCCUUGCUGACCGACAGCGUCGCCCGCCGCUGACAUCUUCACCAUCACCGACCUCCUCCUCGGACCAUCGCACCUCGUCAUGGUUGGGGUCCUCUGUGUCCGCCCGUUGGAUCACCACCACCGCAAAGAAAACUCUGGAUUUUUCUGGUGCGUGUGAGGAUUGCUUUGGCAAGAGCUUUGUUUAUGAAUCCAACCAUCCUUUUGCUUGAUGAGCCAACAAACCAUCUUGAUAUGGCAUGACGGAAGACGUGGAUGUGGCUCUGGCGGUCGAUUGGGUGGCAACGAGGAUGAACCACAGCUGCGACUGCGCCCAUGCACAACCACAACCAACUAGCUAAGGUACAACUACAAGUCCUGCGAGCAACUAACCACCAUGACGCAAUUCCGUUUGGGCGGUGCUCCAUGUGGCUUUCCAGUAGAUUUGAUCCCCAAAUUGAUAUGAUGUAGCAUCAAAUGCUGUGAAUACACUUUGUGAGUUUUGCCUUUGAUCAAGACGAACUCCUGAUUAUAGCGUCCUAAGCCCCACAUGGUGCGUGUCGGCAUCCCUUUGUCAAUUUCUAGGCCAAAAAUUGGUGAAAGGUUUGUCAAGUGGUCUACUUUUGAUUGGAAGCGUGGCUACUUAAUUACUUAUAUCAAUGUUGUUUAUGUAUGACUGAUGCUCUACAGAUACAGUUUGUGUUAUCUAAUAUAACUAUUUUUUUUCUUUUAUUUUGGAUAGAUGUGGAAAUGAAGCUUAGUAAUUUUUAUAUUUUUGUUCUGUGAAGGAAAUAGAAAUAAUACAUGUUGUUUUUCACGAUCAUUUUGCAUUGAAACUGAAAUAAACUGACGACAUCCUUUGUUUACAUCAGACGACAUCUUUCUAAAAGAUUAUUUGUUUAUGUUGUUAUUGCACUUGUCAUACAUGUUAGACUAAAAUCAGGCCUCAAAUUUUGACAUCCAACUAUUCGAAAUCAAUUGUUUUGUUUGUAUAGCAAUGAAGCCUAUUCUCUUCAAAAAAAAAAAGGCAUAAAUAUGCUGAAAAUGAGCUUCUGCUAAUCCUGACAUAAAAAGGAGUUGCAGCGAUGUUGGGGAUUUGGUCCUUGAGCUCAUGCAUAUUGCAAGAGGUACCUAAUUUGAGUUUCAAAAGUGGAUGGUGCAGCUGUUCCACUUGAUUGGUUACUAUCAGGUGUUUGGGGUCAAGUCUGUAGUUUGCAAGGAGUGAACCUCAGUGUCUGUUUGUUGCGGAGCCCUCCUCCACCGUCGUCCAGUCUGCUGCCCCCAUUGCUGGUCGCGCCAUCCAGUCCGCCACCCCCUACGCACCCUCGGACGCCAUCUCCAAAAGGCUUCAGAAGCUUCUGGAGAUAUUAUUGUGAGGGAAGAAUAAUAUUUUGCUUACGUUGACAACCGAGAACUCUGUCAUCUGAAUUAAAAAUUUGUAUGAUUCCAUCUAAUCCCAUGAUAAAUAGUGAGAAUCUAUUUAUAAAAUAUGUAGAUCCCAUCCUAUUUUUAUCCUGAAUUAUUCCAUAACAUGCAACACAAUUUCCUAUCCAAGACGAUGCUGCUGAAACUAUGCCGAAGCUAUAAUAACUUGCCUUGUAAAGGUUAGCUAAAACAUUGUUGAUGAACAUAAAGGUUCAGAAAAAAAAAUGGAGUCUUUUAGCGCAGGUAGAGCUAUAGAGCACUAUCUUUCGAGAAAAAAAUAUACAACAAAUAUUCAUAUUAUAUUUUUUUAUUACACAACAUUGCAUGGCUCCUUAGUGUAGGUUGGUUUCCUUUAAGUCAGUUUUUUUUAUGUUUCUUUAGCAUAGACGUAGAUUUAGCACCAAAAUUAAAAACGAAUGUAGCAAGAUAAUGUUGAAAUCUUGUGGUAUAGAUUAUGAAAAAUGACUCAUCUGACAGGUUUGGUGCACCAAAAUUGCCCCUCAGUUUAAUUUGUGUGCUACCUAGAAAAGAGUAGUAACUAAUUAUGCUAAAUGCAUCAUUAUAGAAAGUAUAUAAUGCUGUUUUAUUAUAGUGAUAGGGAUUGCCAAUAGUUUCUGCAAGUAAUUCUUUUUGCUUUCUCCCAUUCUAUUAGGUGUUUUUCAGGGUUUUCUUCCCAGGCAUAUAUGCACAUCAUAACCAGGUGACCAAGGAAGCUAUAACUUACAUAAAGGACUCUCUCUCUCUCUCUCUGUGUGUGUGUAUAUAUAUAUAUAUAUACAUAUAUAUAUAAUAUGUAUGUAUGUAUGUAUGUAUAUGUGGCAAUUGUACACUUCAUAUUAUGCCAAACAUUUAUCAAACUAUGACAAAUUGUAUAUUUGGUAUCAUUGGUUGUUUUCCGUUUAUAUGACAAACUGUAAACAGAGAGAUAUGUGGUCUGUUUAAUAUGCAUAGUGGGAAAACAUAAUAAACUCGUAUUUAUACGUGAGGGAACGUGCAAGCACGUUCACUAGUAAAAUAAAAAGACAUACUUACAGUAUAAUAAAAACCCCUAAACAUUUGUGUAAGGAAUAAGCAACAUAGAGCAUACCUUAAUUUCUAAAAUUUGUAGAAAAUUCAUCUUUAGUCCAAAUGGAGUGAACAUAGUGGAAUUCAACAUAGUAAUGGUUAAGCAAAAUAUAUGUGUAGAGGUAUUUAAAAUGCACUCUAGCUAUGAAUAAACCAACUUGUUGGACCAGAGAAAACAUAAGUUCCGUCCCUAACCACUAGAACUUGGCACACUAUGCUCUAGGUUAAUAUGUUAAGUCACUAACAUAGAACACUCCCUAGCUUAUAAAAUAUGUAGUAGAGUAAUAUAAACUCUAAAAUUUUGAACUAAGAUUAAAUUGGUUAGCUAAAUUAUUCAUUUUUAUGCAUCUCUAGUAAAUAGAACAUGUUUUGGACAUAAAACUUCUAAAGCCAUAUAUUCAUAGAGACUAUAUGCCUAGAACACGUUAUAACUUGUAAAAUACAUAAAGAAUUCAUAUUAACUCCAAAAAUUAUGAAACCAAAUGUGUUAGUCUUAGAAAACACUCCUCUACACCUCUGUGAAGUCAAACUUAAUAAACAUCACUUUAUAAAAAUAUUUUAUAACACUCCCUAGGUGAUACUAUCUUAUACUGAGCAAACUUCUAAAAUUCAUAACUCCCAAAUAAAAAGAGAUAAAAUAGAAAUUCUUUCACCUAAAAUUCAUCUUAAACCAGUGCCUAUCCUCUGUGCACAAAUCAUGCAUUUUAGAGCAUUUUGGAUUUUUUUUCGCAUAUUUCGGUGUUUAAUUGCAUAACGUGUACUUUAUAUAGAUGAAUGCUUAAACGGUGAAGAAGUGAUUUAGGUGCUGACAUUUUUCAGUUGCAAGGCAAGUCCCACCUCCCUCUCUUUGAUCACUUUAAACCUAUGUUUUGGAGGUUAUUGAAAAUGUUUGCAAAUCUUGCAUGUUGAUUGUACACUAAUAAAUUAAAAUUUUGUUAAACUUGUUAGACAAACUCCUAUUACUUGCAUUAUCACCCUAACCCCACAUAUAUCCAUAUCCCAGAUUCCUAACCUUAGGAACAAUAUGACUAUACCACUUUAUAUAUGAGUUUUGGAGUCAUUAGGUUACUAUAAUGCUUAGCCAUGCUUAGAAUGAUCUUCCUUAUCAUUAUGGAUUCAUUACAAAUAUGAAAAUUGAUUUUGAAAUAAUCUGAACAGAACUUUAAUACUUGUGAUUUUGAUAAAUAAAAUGAUGGAAAACAUGGAGUUUAGGUUUGGGCCUCAAGUGGUACACAUAUGGUGAUUAGUUGUGUACCGAUAGGGGGAGAGUGCGCCCAAACCGACCUAAGGACUUCACUCAAUGUUUGUUCAUUAUGUUUACUGUACAUCCACAUGUGUUAUUAUGGGGUGACCUUGGCCUAUUAAGUUAAGUGCUUGUCUAACCUUGCAUUCGGGAGGCCGUUGUAGUAGCGAUAGUGCCUACGAGUGAACUUUAGGGCUAUUUGUGUUUAUGUGAAUUGCAAAGGGGACGACUGUACCGAUCCGCUUUUUAUGUGCAUGAUGUUUAUGAGGGGACAACUGUAACGUUCCGCCUCACUUUUAUUUAUGGUUUGGUAGGGAACAACUGUAUUGUUCCGCGUGAGGGGACGACUGCAAUGUUCCGCCUCAUGUACAACGUUGAGUGCCACAUAGGAAGCGACUGUACCGGCUUGCCUAUGGCGUUAUAUUGGUUUUAGAUUUAGUCCUUGAGUGAUGCGGGUAUCGUCUGCUUCUUCUAGGACUUGAACUUAAUGGGGUAAACCCCUAGUCGGUAUGCUUCUGGAUUGGGUAGACAAGCUUCCGUUGUUCUAUAUAUUUAUUUGGCUACUAGAGCCAUACCUGAACUCUUCCGAAGACUUCCGGACUCUUGAUUUCUACUCUAUUCCUAUUCCACCAGCUAGAUACUACUAAACUAAACUUGACAGAAAUGAGAAAGCUAUUGCUUGAGAUCUGUGAGUGAAGUGAGAAUGGCAACUCCUUAUAUAGCCUCACAAUGACGGUUGUGACGGUUGGAAUGGUCGGAAAUACCCUCUAACCGUCAUUGGGGGCUAAUCCAUACCGUCCAGGCGAAGCCCUGGAUCGGAUGGCGCUGAGGAGGGUUCGGCUGAACUCCCUGGUUCGGCCGAACCUGGGGCCGGCCCAAUCCAGCCCAAUUUCGGCUAGCGGCCUCCUCUGUUGCUUCUAUUCGCUGACUUGUGAAUUUUGGCCCAAUUCUUUGUAUCAAUUCUGAGUUCUUGGCCCAUUCAUACAUAAGUCUGGUU